rnacentral:rRNA from 1 species
GUGCUAAGGUAGCAUAAUCAUUUGCUACUUAAUUGGUAGUUGGAAUGAAAGGUUAAACUAGCUUACUCAGUUUGUUGUGUUUUGUAAGAAAUUAAAGUCGAGGUAAGAAUUCUUUGAUCUGCUAGGGGACGAUAAGACCCUAGAAGCUUAACAAUAAGAGUAUUUAUUAGUUAUAAAAAUUAAUUUGUUUUACUGGGGCGGUAAAGGUAUAUAAACUAUUAGUGUAUUGAUAGAUCCUUAAAAUAAAGAUAAAACGGGAAAGUUACUCUAGGGGUAACAGUGCAAUAUUUUUGGAGAGAUCAUAUCGAUAAAAAUGUUUGCAACCUCGAUGUUGAAUUAAGAUGUCUACGUGAAGCAGCAGGUACGUGAGAAAGUUUGUUCAACCUUUAAAUUUUUACAUGAUCUGAGUUCAAACCG